rnacentral:rRNA from 1 species
AGCCAUUCGAACUUACGGAUGGUAAAACCUGCCCAGUGGUAAAUCUUAACGGCUGCGGUAUUAUGACCGUACAAAGGUAGCAUAAUCACUUGUCCCUUAAUUAGGGACUGGAAUCAAUGGUAAAACAAGAGCUUAACUGUCUCAUCUUUAUACCUAAAAACUUACCUUCAAGUGAAAAGGCUUGAAUUUCCCAAGAGGACAAGAAGACCCUAUGGAGCUUUAGGUGCAAGGCCUACUACAUCUAAUAUUUCAUAAAAAGGUGAUAGGGCUCAAAACUUUGGUUGGGGCAACCGGGGUACAAGAAAACCACUCCUAAAAGAGUUACUGAUAUGUACUAAUAUAGAAAGAAAAGAUCCUUAAGUCAAGAUCAGGAGAAUAAGCUACCCUAGGGAUAACAGCGUAAUUCUUCCCAAGAGCCCUUAUCGAAGGAAGAGGUUGCGACCUCGAUGUUGGACUAGGGUAUCCUACAGGUGCAGAAGCUUGUAAAGGUAAGUCUGUUCGACUUUUAAAACCCUACAU